AACUAGGCGAGCUACUCUAAAACAGCCCAUAGAGCUAACCCAUCCCUGUUACAAAAGGGUGGGACGAUUUUAAAGUAGAGGUGACACACCUAUCGAGCCCAGAGAUAGCUGGUUAUUCAAAAGACGGAUUUAAGUCCAACUUUAAGGCCCCCCCCCAGUAAUACUAAAUAACCCAACAACUUAAAAGCCAUUCAAAUAAGGUACAGCCUAUUUGAACAAGGAAACAGCCUACAAUAUAGGGUAAUGACCACACACAUGACCAAGUGGGCCUAAAAGCAGCCAACUUUU
rnacentral:rRNA from 1 species